AACGAACGCUGGCGGCAGGCUUAACACAUGCAAGUCGAGCGAGAUCUUCGGAUCUAGCGGCGGACGGGUGAGUAACGCGUGGGAACGUGCCCUUUGCUACGGAAUAGUCCCGGGAAACUGGGUUUAAUACCGUAUGUGCCCUUUGACCUUGGCGGUGAUUGGGGAAAGAUUUAUCGGCAAAGGAUCGGCCCGCGUUGGAUUAGGUAGUUGGUGGGGUAAUGGCCCACCAAGCCGACGAUCCAUAGCUGGUUUGAGAGGAUGAUCAGCCACACUGGGACUGAGACACGGCCCAGACUCCUACGGGAGGCAGCAGUGGGGAAUCUUAGACAAUGGGGGCAACCCUGAUCUAGCCAUGCCGCGUGAGUGAUGAAGGCCUUAGGGUUGUAAAGCUCUUUCAGCUGGGAAGAUAAUGACGGUACCAGCAGAAGAAGCCCCGGCUAACUCCGUGCCAGCCGCCGCCGUAAUAC
rnacentral:rRNA from 1 species